rnacentral:rRNA from 1 species
UACGUAGGGUGCAAGCGUUGUCCGGAAUUACUGGGCGUAAAGGGCGCGUAGGCGGCGCGGUAAGUCAGGAGUGAAAGCCCGGGGCUCAACCCCGGAACGUCUUUCGAAACUGCCGAGCUAGAGUGCGGAAGAGGCAACUGGAAUUCCCAGUGUAGCGGUGAAAUGCGUAGAUAUUGGGAAGAACACCUGAGGCGAAGGCGGGUUGCUGGGCCGACACUGACGCUGAGGAGCGAAAGCGUGGGGAGCGAACAGG